rnacentral:pre_miRNA from 1 species
UUUGUACUCCCUCCGUCCCAAAAUUCUUGUCUUAAAUUUGUCUAAAUACGGAUGUAUCUAGUUACAUUUUAGUGUUAGAUACAUCCGUAUCUAAACAAAUGUAAGACAAGAAUUUUGGGACAGAGGGAGUACUAC